rnacentral:lncRNA from 1 species
AAACGCCCAAGUGGAGCAAGAGAAGGGGCUCGGCUGCCCCGCUCGCAAAGCUGUUCAGGCAGCCAGCCCCAGCCCCAGCAGAGCCCUCACCGUCCUCCUCCCGCGCCCCCAAAACAUCCAGCAGCACGGUCCCUGAGGGCCAGCUUCGCGAAGAGAGAUCCUGAAGGCGGUCACUGGACGCGCGUGUUACAGAGCCCGUUUUUGUUUUGUUUAAGAAACAGAUUCCUAUCCGCCCUACCCCGGGGGAACAGAGGGAGAUGGCAGCAGGGGGCCGGCGUUGAGAGAGAGAAUAAAAGAACGACCGAGUACAACCUGCCGCGCGAGCCCGCAGCGCAGGGAAGGAAAGUUCACAGCUUUCAAACAGACCACAUGGAGAGACAGAGAAGACUCUCAGACAAUGUCAUCACCAAAACAACCUUUCCAAUCAAUGGGAUGACAGAGGUGUCAGCCAGACAGAGCUGUGUUAACCCAGGUUCAGGAUGGCACAUUCCCAAUUCCCUCUUAACCACAAAAAAUAAGAAUCUAGCCUCAAAUCUGGAACACCUCUGGCUAAGGAGAAAAAUUGUUCUUCAGUUUCCAUUUGACAGAGAAAUAUACAUGGCUGAGCAGCAAAACCACGACUCUUUGGGCACUCAGCAAAUCACAGAAGCUCUAACAGAUCCUGGAAGGGAAUCAGGAAAAUAUUUGGUCCUAUAG